GAUAAACGCUGGCGGCGUGCCUAAUAAAUGCAAGUCGAGCGAACAGUCGAGGAGCUUGCUCCUCUGAUUUUAUCGGCGGUUGGGUGAGUAACACGUGGCUCACCUACCUAUAAGACUGGGAUAACUUCGGGAAACCGGCGCUACUACCGGAUAACAUGUUGAACCUCUUGGUUCAACAGUGAAAGACGGUCUUGCUGUCACUUAUAGAUUGAUCCGCGUCGCGUUCGCUAGUCGUUAAGGUAACGGCUUACCACGGCAACGAUGCGUAGACGAGCUAAGAGGGUCAUCGACCACCUUGUCACUGCGACACGUACCAGACACCGACGAGAGGCAGCAGAAGGGAAUCUUCCGCCAUGGGCGAAAGCCUAACAGAGCAACGCCGCGUGAAUGCAGAAAGUCUACGGAUCGGAAAACUCUGUUAUCAGGGAAGAACAAAUGUGAAAGUAACUAUGCACGUCAUGACGGUACCUAAUCAGAAAGCCACGGCUAACUACGUG
rnacentral:rRNA from 1 species